CUGAAAAUCCCCUGAUGAAAUACACUGAGCUGGAACAUAUUGGCAGCGGGACUUUUGGAGAUGUUUGCAGAGCACUUAUCAAUGCCACAGGAAGAGAGCUGGCCAUAAAGAAAAUAAAUC